rnacentral:rRNA from 1 species
UACGUAGGGUGCGAGCGUUAAUCGGAAUUACUGGGCGUAAAGCGUGCGCAGGCGGUUCUCCAAGUCCGUUGUGAAAGCCCCGGGCUCAACCUGGGAAUGGCAGUGGAAACUAGGGGACUGGAAUCUGGCAGAGGGGGGUGGAAUGCCGCGUGUAGCAGUGAAAUGCGUAGAGAUGCGGCGGAACACCGAUGGCGAAGGCAGCCCCCUGGGCUGGGAUUGACGCUCAGGCACGAAAGCGUGGGGAGCAAACAGG